rnacentral:lncRNA from 1 species
AGUCUGGUUACUGUAGAAGUCCUGCUGUUGGAGAAGCUCGGACAUUGACGAAGUCUGAAAGAAGUUUGGAGUAAAGUUGCUCGUGGCAGGAGGAAGUCUGGAAGAGAUUCAGAGGGUAGCCAAUCACUGUGAAAAGUCGGCUGAUAAUGAGACCCAAAGAGCAUUUGGAGCAGUCCCGUAGAUGAAUGGGGGAGCUCAUUAUUGGAGAAGUUCGGAUGGCAUUAUGGAAGCUCGGACGAUCGAGGGAGUUCAGAAAGACGCCACACAAGGUCGGAAGCCAGAAAAGCCUUGGAAGGGUCGGCCUUUUACCAACUUCGGCUGGGGUUAUUUUAUACCCAACACCAGUCCCCUAUUUCCAAGUUCAGAUUCUGAAUGAAGAAAGUAUAGAGAAAUUUUUACAGCCGAAGUUGCCUCCCUCAAUUUUCGUACUUGAUUGUUUCUAGAUAUUUUGACGUUUGGCACGCUGGUGCUGGAGUCUUUUUAAAUCGAGGCAAUCCGAAAAAGUUUUUUCGGAAUUUUUGCUGGAGCGCUGCUCUAGAUACGGUGCAAUAAUGGUUCUGUCAGUUAUCGGUCACUUUCAGCCGCCUGCCAUAAUGAGUGGGCCAUGUGGCGGUUAUAGAUCGGCCAGAGGGGACCU